rnacentral:rRNA from 1 species
AGCGAACGCUGGCGGCAGGCCUAACACAUGCAAGUCGAACGAACUCUUCGGAGUUAGUGGCGGACGGGUGAGUAACACGUGGGAACGUGCCUUUAGGUUCGGAAUAACUCAGGGAAACUUGUGCUAAUACCGAAUGUGCCCUUCGGGGGAAAGAUUUAUCGCCUUUAGAGCGGCCCGCUUCUGAUUAGCUAGUUGGUGAGGUAAAGGCUCACCAAGGCGACGAUCAGUAGCUGGUCUGAGAGGAUGAUCAGCCACAUUGGGACUGAGACACGGCCCAAACUCCUACGGGAGGCAGCAGUGGGGAAUCUUGCGCAAUGGGCGAAAGCCUGACGCAGCCAUGCCGCGUGAAUGAUGAAGGUCUUAGGAUUGUAAAAUUCUUUCACCGGGGACGAUAAUGACGGUACCCGGAGAAGAAGCCCCGGCUAACUUCGUG